rnacentral:lncRNA from 1 species
UUAAACAAACUGUAGAAUAUUAACAAUAACGAGAAAAAUUAUUGGACAUUCAUCCACUUAAAUGGGUCUUAAAACAAUAGUGACAAGUGUAAGAAACCAGAUUUUAAAAAAGAGUGCAAAUAUAUUCUUAAAUUUAUAUAUAAUUCUAGAAAUUGAAAAACAAUCUAUAGUGAGAGAAGGAAAAUAAAUGUUUUCCUGUGAAAUUGGUGGGAAAUGUCAUGAGGGAUGGAUCUCAAAGGGCAAAAGGAAACUUGGAGAUAGAAGAAUUUAUUAUUUUGACUAUGGUAAUAGUAACUUGGGGUUGUACAAAUGUCACAACUUUAUCAAAUUUUAUAGUUAAAUAUGUACAGUUUAUUAUACAUCAAUUAUAUCUUCAUAAGGCUGCAAAAGUAUUUUUAAUGAGCCAAACCCUCAGCAAAAGAUAACUGAAAUUUUGAGCACUGCAGAUAUAAGAAAGUACACUACACUUCUAGCCUCCAAUGAGAAAAUGUAUUCCCUUUGUUUUUCUUUUAUAAUUCUUUUCUUGGGUGAACCUAAGUACCAUCAUAAUGUGUAUACCAUCUAUAUUUAAAAUACAACAUAAUUAUGCUAAUACAAAAAUUAAUCAUAUCAAACAUUAAUCAGUGGCAAUAACUAGAGUUGAUGAGUAUUUGAAGAAAUGGCUACUCUCAUCCAAUGCUGAUGGUAAUAACCUAGUAGAAAAAAUAAUGACAACACUGAUCACAAUUCUAGAAUUCUACAUUGUUGUUAACUGACUUUUGAGGUUAGACUUAUGAAAUUAUUUUUAUUUUUUAUUUUUUUGAGAGGGAGUCUCAUUCUUGUUGAUCAGGCUGGAGUGCAAUGGCACGAUCUUGGCUCACUGCAACCUCCACCUAUCGGGUUCAAGUGAUUUUCCUGCCUCAGCCUCCCAAGCAGCUGGGAAUACAGGUGCCCGCCACCAAGCUAGGCUAUUUUUUUGUAUUUUUAGUAGAGAUGGGGUUUCACCAGGUUGGCCAGGCUGAUCUCGAAUUUCUGACCUCAGGUGAUCCACCCACCUCGGCCUCCCAAAAUGCUGGGAUUACAGGCAUGAGCCACUGCGCCCAGCCAACUAAUGAAAUAAUUGUAGAUGUUCAUUGUAAUUAAAUACAAGAAUGUCCAUAUCAUUUUGUACACACUAGUAAAAUGCUGGGGGAAAAUUCCAUAACAUAGAUGGUCAUUUAUAUGGCAUUUUAAAUAAAUUACAUACACAGUGAAAUAAUAUACAGACAGAAAAAAUAGUAUUGUAGAAAAAUAUAUAAUUAUUGUCCAUUUCUGUGAAUGUUUCCUAACACUAGUAAAAAGUAUACAUAAAAGUAUAUUUUUUCAGACUUGUUCAUAAUUAUAAAAUUUAGAUACACCCUACAUUUACAAGAAUAGUAAAAGAAAUAUUGUUACAGUCAGACCAUGGAAUGCCAAGUCACAACUAAAAGAAAAGCAGUUUAUCAUCUACAUUUGUACCGACUUGGAAAGAUGCCCAUGAUGUAAAACAAUACCCACACACAAACACAUGAGCACAUCAUUCCCAAAAUAUUAUGUAUGAUCCUAUGAUUCUAUUUUACAAAUGUGUGUGUAUGUAUCAAAGUAAGGGAAAGAGAAAGGAGACGGCUCCUAUACUCACAGAAGUACAUGUUGUAAACUGUUAAUAUUAUCCCUGGGACUGGCUAGGUUUGGGCAAGUUUAGAGAGGUGUAAGAAAUUUCACUUUUAACUUCACUCAUUUAGGUUAAGUUUGAAAACUUUUAUAAAAUACAUGUUAUUUAUGAUUUAAAACACAAGGAAAUUAAUUGGUAAAGAAGAUAGCACUAGUCAUGCUAUUUUUUAUAUAGAAAAUCCACUAAACUAAAUAUAACAUUAUGGUUUUGUUUUUGUUUUGUUUUUUUGGGGGGAGUGGGAGAUCCUAUGUUUCCCAGGCUGGUAUCAAACUCCUAGGCUUAAGUAAUCUUCCUGCCUUAGCCUUCUGAGUAGCUGGGAUUAUAGGUGCCCACCACCAUGCCCAGAAAAACAUUAUGUAUUGUAUGACUUCAUUUCUGAAAAUUAUAUUUGCAUAUAUCUUACUCAUCUUUUACUAGAUUAUCAUACAUUAACACAAUCUCUAUGAGUAGCAAUAAUUGUGUUUGAUGACUGGUCAAGGUGGUUUUAAUUUCAGAACCCAGUAGGAAAGUGAGCCCACAUGUGGGAUAUGUUCCUCUCUUGGUAGACGAGUAUGCAGAAUUGCUGGUAGAAACAAGUAAGGCUCUUCAAGCUUCUGCUCAAAACCAGCAUGAAUCUUUUCUGCUCAUAUUUUAUUAGUCAAAACAGGUCAGUCGCCAAGCCUGACAAUGGAGCAAGAAAGUGCUCUCUGCCCAUAGUUAGAAACUUUAAGUAACAGGGCAAUUAAUGAAAAAACAGAAUCAUCUUAUUGGAAGGCAUAUAUUAAACACUUCAAACAAUAAAACAACAUACCACAGUUUAAAAAAUAUUGUGAAAAGAACUAGCAUAAAAUGUUGGCAUAGGCUAUCUAUCUCUGGAUCAUGAAAUAGAUCAUAUUUCAGUUUUUUAUUUUGUUCACCUUUAUUUGUUAAAAUUUUCUACAAUUAGCAUGCAUUUUUCUUGAGACAAGUCAGUUUCCCUGACUACCUCAAUGAAAUUAACUUCCCACUAACACCUCAUUCUCUAUGCCCUUCACAUGCUUUAUUUCUCUUCAUAGUACUUACAUCAUCUGACAUGCUCAUUUUUUUCAGUCAUGUGUUUGUUUAUUCUAUACUUUUCCAGCUAGAAUUUAAGCUGCAUGAAUGUGGAGAAUUUCUCUGCUUUGUUCAUUUCUCCACUCAGAGUAGUUUCUGGCAUAUAACAGACACUCAAUAAAUAUUUCCAAAUCAAAGAAAAAUAGUAAUAAAGGCAAUUUCAAAGUUGAAAUAAUCAGUUGGGAGGCAAACUCUUUUGGAUGUUGAAUUGAUUUAAGGAAAUGAAUGAUUGUGAAUUAUUCUGGUUUUUUUUUCCCUUUUGAAUCUUAAAGUACAGAAGAAGCUUCCUCAAUACAAAUCCUCUCUCUCUUUCUCUGUUUUUGUUUGUCUGUUAUUCAGAGGAUUACUCUUCUCUUACAGUCAGUUGCUGGCUGACACUUCCCUGCAAGCCUUUUGUCCCAUCCCCCUCCUCUUUCCGUCCUGUCACUUGAUUACUUUCCUUUGCUCUGAUGUGAGUCAGGAAAUAGCAUCCAGUAUAGGAGAUCCUACCAAAAGGGAGGACAGUCAACAACACAUCCAUUGCUCAUUCUUCUCCUCCUCUUCUCCUGGGAACCGUGAGGUAAUCCCGGAAGGAAUCCCUUUAAAGGAGAAGUUUAAGCCUAAUCAAGUUGUGUCCGGAAUUGGUGGGUUCUUGCUCUCACUGACUUCAAGAAUGAAGCUGCAGACUCUCGCAGUGAGUGUUACAGUUCUUAAAGGUGGUGCGUCUGGAGUUUGUUCCUUCUGAUGUUCAGACAUGUUCGGAGUUUCUUCCUUCUGGUGGGUUCGUGGUCUCGCUGGCUUCAGGAGUGAGGCUGCGGACCUUCGAGGUGAGUGUUACAGCUCAUAAAGGCAGUGCGGACCCAAAGAGUGAGCAGCAGCAAGACUUAGUGCAAAGAGCUAAAGAACAAACCUUUCAAGGUGUGGAAGGAGACCCAAGCAGG